rnacentral:rRNA from 1 species
UACAGAGGUCUCGAGCGUUAGGCGGAAUCACUGGGCUUAAAGCGUGUGUAGGCGGAUCGUUAAGUGCCUUGUGAAAUCCCACGGCUCAACCGUGGAACUGCUUGGCAUACUGGCGGUCUUGAGCAACCUAGGGGCGAGCGGAACAAAUGGUGGAGCGGUGAAAUGCGUAGAUAUCGAGAGGAACACCUGCGGCGAAGGCGGGUUGCUGGGCCGACACUGACGCUGAUGCGCGAAAGCCAGGGGAGCGAACGGG